rnacentral:rRNA from 1 species
UGCCGCGUGCAGGAUGACGGUCCUAUGGAUUGUAAACUGCUUUUAUACGGGAAGAAAACGAGUUACGUGUAACUAACUGACGGUACCGUAAGAAUAAGGAUCGGCUAACUCCGUGCCAGCAGCCGCGGUAAUACGGAGGAUCCAAGCGUUAUCCGGAAUCAUUGGGUUUAAAGGGUCCGUAGGCGGUCUUAUAAGUCAGUGGUGAAAGUUUUUAGCUUAACUAAAAAAUUGCCAUUGAUACUGUUAGACUUGAAUUACUUGGAAGUAACUAGAAUAUGUAGUGUAGCGGUGAAAUGCUUAGAUAUUACAUGGAAUACCAAUUGCGAAGGCAGGUUACUAUGAGUUAAUUGACGCUGAUGGACGAAAGCGUGGGUAGCGAACAGGAUUAGAUACCCUGGUAGUCCACGCCGUAAACGAUGGAUACUAGUUGUUUGGCCGUAAGGUUGAGUGACUAAGCGAAAGUGAUAAGUAUCCCACCUGGGGAGUACGAACGCCAGUUUGAAACUCAAAUGAAUUGUCGG